rnacentral:rRNA from 1 species
UACGAAGGGGGCUAGCGUUGUUCGGAAUUACUGGGCGUAAAGCGUAUGCAGGCGGACUUUUAAGUCGGGGGUGAAAUCCCGAGGCUCAACCUCGGAACUGCCUUCGAUACUGGAAGUCUUGAGUCCGGGAGAGGUGAGUGGAACUCCGAGUGUAGAGGUGAAAUUCGUAGAUAUUCGGAAGAACACCAGUGGCGAAGGCGGCUCACUGGCCCGGUACUGACGCUGAGAUACGAAAGCGUGGGGAGCAGACAGG